CUACGGAAUGCAGCAGUGGGGAAUAUUGGGCAAUGGGCGCAAGCCUGACCCAGCAACGCCGCGUGAGGGAAGAAGGUUUUCGGAUUGUAAACCUCUGUCCUUGGGGACGAAUAAAAUGACGGUACCCAAGGAGGAAGCUCCGGCUAACUACGUGCCAGCAGCCGCGGUAAUACGUAGGGAGCAAGCGUUGUCCGGAAUUACUGGGCGGAAAGGGUGCGUAGGCGGCAUAUUAAGUCAGGUGUGAAAUUUUCGGGCUCAACCCGAAACCUGCAUCUGAAACUGAUAAGCUUGAGUAUGAGAGAGGAAAGUGGAAUUCCUAGUGUAGCGGUGAAAUGCGUAGAUAUUAGGAGGAACACCAGUGGCGAAGGCGACUUUCUGGCUCAUCACUGACGCUGAGGCACGAAAGCGUGGGUAGCAAACAGGAUUAGAUACCCUAGUAGUC
rnacentral:rRNA from 1 species